CCCUUAGAUGUUCUGGGCCGCACGCGCGCUACACUGAUGCAUUCAACAAGCCUAGCCUUGACCGAGAGGUCCGGGUAAUCUUUGAAACUGCAUCGUGAUGGGGCUAGAUUAUUGCAAUUAUUAAUCUUCAACGAGGAAUGCCUAGUAAGCGUGAUUCAUCAAAUCGCGUUGAUUACGUCCCUGCCCUUUGUACACACCGCCCGUCGCUCCUACCGAUUGAGUGGUCCGGUGAGGCUUUGGGAUCUGAGCGGAAAGAGCGUUUCGCUCGUUCUGCCCGGAAAACUCAGUCGAACCUUAUCAUUUAGAGGAAGGAGAAGUCGUAACA
rnacentral:rRNA from 1 species